rnacentral:lncRNA from 1 species
CUGAGCUGUUGGCUUUAAUUCUGCAUUUCUUGCUCCUGAGGCUUUGAAAAACAAAGCACGCUUGGGGCGGGCUCACUUGGGGAAAAGACGGGAGCUCUGGUCUUAUCCUGAAGCAUCACAGUCUGCUCAGAGGAGAGUUAUGGACUCUUCCAAUGCUGGCUGGUCUUGAACUCCUGACCUCAUGAUCUGCCUGCCUCGACCUCCCAAAGUGCUGGGAUUACAGGUGUUAGUCACCAUGCCUGGCCGAGAAAAGAAGAUUUAAGAAAGGAAGCUAGAAGUUGUUCAUCGAAGGGAAGAGAAUCAGGAAAUGGUAAAAGUCACAGAUAUUAAGCAGAAAGUACUCAUUCCCUAAAGCCAGGAUUGAACCCUGGCCACCACUGUAAAAUGGUGGAGACCAAAAGAAAGGACUGCCACGUGGUUACAAGGUCAAGCUGCCAAGGACAUAAGACAAGAUGGAGACCUGCAGCACAGUUCGUUACUGACCAGUUUGCGGGGCUGGCUUGAACAGUGGGCUCAUGGGGUACUAGGCCAUGCUCUAUCCUCAGGUAUUCCUCCUUAUGACAGAACCAUGCAGAAAGACACACAAAGUACACCAGAUUGGCUGCAGCUUAAGAUUAGCCUCACAAAUCCUUUUUUUCCAUGCAUCAAAAUCUUACAGAGGAUAUAAACAGUGAUUUUCUCAUUCAUUCAACUGGUUUGCACAGGGAGAGGGAGACCAGAAGUCUGACUGGUAAGAAAUCUUUACCCUUUUGCUGGCAUUUCAGGCUUCUGAGUUCCCUUCACCCAAGCUCAAUUUUAAGCCAAGCAUUUUAAGGGUUGGGGAAAUUAACUCUUCCCAGUUUGGGGGACACAUCCAAGGGGAAUGUCCUAUGUUAGGUACAGGGACACAAUUACCCAUCCCCAAAGAGAGGACAGAGGAGGAAAAAGCAGAAAGAAGGCAUUUUUUUUUUCCAAAAGAAUCACAGUGAUUCAGGAGGCAUUUCAGAGAAGUACAGACUGAAGAAGAUUGGUUACCCAUCUCGAAAGAGGGGAAGAAAGUGUCCCUAGUUACUUUCUCUUCCCAGUGAAUACUCAGGGUAUGUGAGGGAGAGAAAGAAGAGGCAUCUCCAUUUGUUUUUUGGGUCCUUACAUCCCUGAGUCCCAGUGACCUUGGCAGGGUGCUGCCCAUGGGUGCCAAUGAGGCUUUCACCCAUGUUAACAGGGGGUGCCUAGGGGAUGGGAAUUAUCUGCAUUUGCCCACAUGCUGCCUGUCCCCCAUGCUAUCAGUAACCUUUGGGUUCCCCAGACCUCAUUUAUGGCAUGGAUACUAGCAUGACCUCUAUCCUUGAAAUAAGGGGGACUUAAUCAGCAGGAAUUAGUCAGUCACGCUCACCUGUGCUGUGCCCCUUGACUUCCAUUGUCAUCUGCCUCUGGAUCCCUCAGAUCCCGUUUUCCUUACUAGGGCUUCAGUCUGAAGCUUGGAAUUGAGUUUGAGACAAAAAGCUGCCUCAGGAGGGUUUAUGGACUCAUCAAGUCCCAGGUGGUCCUCACCAGACUGCAGCCAGCAGCCAACAGCCAACAGGGUCGCUCCUCUGCUGCUUCCUUAUUUUGCAACAACACACUUAAUGCUGUAAAAGAAGAGAUAGGAGCCACUUCAAACCAUGAAAGAAGAAAAGAAAAAUACCAUAGAAAAGUC